GCGGGAAUAGCUCAGUUGAUAGAGCAUUAGCCUUCCAAGCUGAGGGUCGCGGGUUUGAGUCCCGUUUCCCGCUCAA
rnacentral:tRNA from 1 species